AUUGAACGCUGGCGGCAGGCCUAACACAUGCAAGUCGAGCGGAUGAAGGGAGCUUGCUCCUGGAUUCAGCGGCGGACGGGUGAGUAAUGCCUAGGAAUCUGCCUGGUAGUGGGGGAUAACGUCCGGAAACGGGCGCUAAUACCGCAUACGUCCUGAGGGAGAAAGUGGGGGAUCUUCGGACCUCACGCUAUCAGAUGAGCCUAGGUCGGAUUAGCUAGUUGGUGGGGUAAAGGCCUACCAAGGCGACGAUCCGUAGCUGGUCUGAGAGGAUGAGCAGUAACACUGGGACUGAGACACCGUCCAGAGUCCUACGGAGGGCAGGAGUGGGGAAUAUUGGACAAUGUGCGCACGCCUUCUCCAGCCAUACCUCGUGGGUGAAGAAGGUCAUUGGGUUGUAAAUCCCUGUUGUUGGGAAAAAAAAGCAACCGGCUAAUACCCAGCUGUUAUGACGGUACCCAAAGAAUAAGCGCCGGCGAACCUCGUG
rnacentral:rRNA from 1 species